GAUGAACGCUGGCGGCGUGCCUAAUACAUGCAAGUCGAGCGAACGGACGAGAAGCUUGUUCCUCUGAUGUUAGCGGCGGACGGGUGAGUAACACGUGGAUAACCUACCUAUAAGACUGGGAUAACUUCGGGAAACCGUUGCUAAUACCGGAUAAUAUUUUGAACCGCAUGGUUCAAGAGUGAAAGACGCUCUUGCUGUCACUAAUAGAUGGAUCCGCGCUGCAUUAGCUAGUUGGUAAGGUAACGGCUUACCAAGGCAACGAUGCAUAGCCGACCUGAGAGGGUGAUCGGCCACACUGGAACUGAGACACGGUCCAGACUCCUACGGGAGGCAGCAGUAGGGAAUCUUCGGCAAUGGGCGAAAGCCUGACGGAGCAACGCCGCGUGAGUGAUGAAGGUCUUCGGAUCGUAAAACUCUGUUAUUGGGGAAGAACAUAUGUGUAAUUAACUGUGCACAUCUUGACGGUACCUAAUCAGAAAGCCACGGCUAACUACGUG
rnacentral:rRNA from 1 species